UACGGAGGGUGCAAACGUUGCUCGGAAUCAUUGGGCGUAAAGCGCACGUAGGCGGCCUGAUAAGUCGGGUGUGAAAGCCCUGGGCUCAACCCAGGAAGUGCACUCGAAACUGUCAGGCUUGAAUAUGGAAGAGGGUCGCGGAAUUCCCGGUGUAGAGGUGAAAUUCGUAGAUAUCGGGAGGAACACCAGUGGCGAAGGCGGCGACCUGGGCCAAUACUUGACGCUGAGGUGCGAAAGCGUGGGGAGCAAAACAGGAUUGAGAUACCCCGAGUAG
rnacentral:rRNA from 1 species